GGACCAUAGCUCAGUGGUAGAGCAUCUGUCUUGCAUGCAGAAUGUCCCAAGUUCAAUCCCCAACAUCUCCA